CCUAAGAGUUACCCGAAGCUCGGCAUCCGCGAUUGUCUAAGGGGCCUCCGAGACGUUCGGGCAGCGUCAGUCUUCAGCCGCCAAGCCGAGGAGAUCUGGGAAGGAGUCGGUGGGGAGCUUUGGGUUUGAGCUCCAGGAGCUCCGGAAGUGGCGAUGAGAGUCGGGCAGUCAGACUUCCAGUGAGGGCCCGCACAGGCGGGGCAUGGCUUAGGAGGAAUCCCAGGCUGCAGGCAUUCCUUGGCCCAGUGGCCAGGUUUUCAUCGCUUGAAGCAAAGUCCCAGAGGGGCUGUUGGAUGUUGCGUUUAGAUGCCUUGAAGUUCUUGCAGGUAGGCAGUGCAGCUGGGGUUUGUCUUAUGGCGGAGGCAAGCAUCUGUAGUUCUGAAAUGCGCUGUCGCCGGGCAGUCUCUUCCCUAUUAUUGAACACCUUGAAGGCGAGGUUGAUUAAUUCCUGUUGUGGGAUCUGAGAGCCAGACUCUAAUUUUUGAAGUUUCUUUCUACUGUCAGAAACUGACUGGGUAAUAAAAUGCAUGUUAAGAAUAAGGCGGCCUUCUAUCCCUUCAGGGUCUAGUGCUGUAUAUCGCCUGAGGGUGGCAGGUAGACAGGCCAUAAACUGAGCUGGAUUUUUAUCUUUGUUCUGAGUGGUUUUUUUUGUUUUUGUUUUUGUUUUUUAGUUUGUCAUAAUUGACGGCUUUAUAUGCAGCCUUCUGAAGCCCUUUAACUAGGCAAGAGAUCAUGUAGUCCCGCCUGGCUAUGCCUGGGUCCCAGGGCCUGGCUUCAAAAUGGUGAGAAGAUAAUGAGAAAAGGAAAGAAUCUAUGGAUAAGAAGUAAGGAGAAAAUCGUUGACAAUUGUCAAAAUCUUGCCUCAUUACUUCUCCAGGAAUGAUGUCUAUCCUUUUCUUCAAACACAUUCUGUAUUCUAGGAAUUCUGAAUUAUUUUGGAUUAGCCAAACUCACUAUAAACUCUACUGUAAAGAAGGCAUUCCAAGAGAAGGAACAACGUGAAAAGAAACAAACUCAUGAAGGCCUGAGGCAUGAGCAUGUGUUGAGCAUUUGGGAAAGAACAAAGU
rnacentral:lncRNA from 1 species